GCAUGUGAGGGAGAACUGGCUGCGACAUCUGACACCCCAUUGAUUGCCAGGGUUGACUCAACUGAUCUGGCUGAUGAAGCAGGUAUCCCCUUCCUCCCUCACCGCUCCAUGUGCAUCCCUCCCAAAGCUGCGCACUCUCCUGAUAGAAGGAGGACCAUCCUUUGGUCAAGCGUAUACGAGCAGUUAUGCUCUCCAAACAAGCCCUCAGAAAGAAAAUAACCCAGCUGUUGUUAUGGUGGUGGUGGUGGUUUUGUGAUCUAACACUCCUAGUAUGCCAUUUGUACAUUGUACAUUACAACCUCCAAAU
rnacentral:snRNA from 1 species